rnacentral:rRNA from 1 species
UACGGAAGGGGGCUAGCGUUGCUCGGAAUCACUGGGCGUAAAGCGCACGUAGGCGGCUUUCUAAGUCAGGGGUGAAAUCCUGGAGCUCAACUCCAGAACUGCCUUUGAUACUGGAUGGCUUGAAUCCGGGAGAGGGAUGCAGAAUUCCAGGUGUAGCGGUGAAAUGCGUAGAUAUCUGGAGGAAUACCGGUGGCGAAGGCGGCAUCCUGGACCGGCAUUGACGCUGAGGAGCGAAAGCCAGGGGAGCAAAGCGGGG